UGACAAUCGUGGCAUUGCUUGUGUUUAUUGUUAGCAAUAUACGGAUUUAUCUUUUUUUUUAUUAUUAUUAUUAAUUAAAUCAUAGGCGCGAGGAUUAUCUUGUCAAACAAUUUCAUAAGCCUUCUAUAUGGAAAGCCAAUCUCCAUUUUGUUGUCUCUCUUACUCGCUCACUCGCUCGCUCUCAACAUCUGAACGUUCAAUGAUCGCAUGCGCGUAUAUCGACUGUAGAUGACACCCGGCUUUAUUCAAAACAAUGCGUGAAUAUUUUCGUACACAUAGGUAUUCAAGCUUGAAUUCGUUCGUUAUGCUUUUUUAUUCUGGAUAGAUCGGAAAAUUUGUCGCAUAAAUUGAUAUGAUAAACUAAUAAAUAUUCUCAAAAUGAAAUAUUGAGAUUUCAAUCAGAAAAAAAAAUUACGACUAAAUAUAGUAGCCACUAGAUUGGCAAUUGUGAUCGUAUUCGUAA